CCGUAGAAUUGGUUCAUAACUGCGAUUAAGUGCUAUAUAAGUCAUAAAUGUUUGUAUUGCUUUGAAAAAUAAGUGCUAUGUAAAAACAGUAGUGGUAUAACUUGCAUACUAAAUCUGGCAGGUUAACUGCUACUCCCUCCGUUCCAUAUUAAUUGGUGUGAAUUUAGCACAACUUGUACUAAAUUCGUGCCAAUUAACAUGGAACGGAGGGAGUAUGUUAAAUCAAUAGGGGGUGUAACUUGAAGUACAACUGCAAUUGUACCAUUUUUGUUUGCUACUAUAGCAUGCAAUUUGUAUAUCUUUAUUUGAAGUUGCAGAUGCUUUGUUCUGUAACUGCACUCCAUAUAUAGUUUAACUUGAUGAUGAACUCAUAAUUUUUUAAGGGGCAAUUAUAUGCAAUUGCACUGUUGACCUUCAUUGAUUGCAAUUUCUCUGUUCCAACUAGGGGUGUGUGUGUGUGUGUGUUAUCUACCUAACUUGAACAUUUUUUGUUCUCUCGUUGAUGCCUUGCCAAAUAGCAGCGCAACCUACAUUCUGCAUAUGUGCAAUUGCACCGUUGACUUUCACUAAUUGCAUUUGCAUUUUUUUUCAGUCCCAACCUGGGGGGGUGUCAUAUGCAUUAACUUGAACAUUUUGUGUCUCUAAUUGAUGCACUGCCAAAUAAUAGCGCAUUUCACACUCUGUCUAAGCGCAAUCGCACUGUUAACUGUCAUUAAUUGCAAUUGCAAUUUUUCUGUCCCAACUAGUGGGGUUAUGUUUGCCUAACUUGAACAUUUUGUUCUCUUUUUUGAUCCACUGCCAAACAAUAUCGCAUUUUACAUUAUACUUUAGCGCAAUCGGACUACGACUUUCAUUAAUUGCAAUUGCAAUUUUUCUGUCCCAACUAGUGGGUUAUAUUUGGCUAAUUGAACAUUUUUGUUGUCUUUUUUUAUGCACCGACAAACAGUGCUGCAAGUUAUACUCUGGAAAAGUGCAAUUUUCACUCUUGAUUUUCAUUCAUUGCAAUUGCAGUUUUUCUGUACCAACUAGUGUGGUCAUUUUGUUCUUUUUUUAUGCACCUCUGUAUAUGUCCCUCUAUAUCCAGAGCUUGCAAUUCAAAUCUUUUUCAGAACUUUGAUACCAUAUAUUUCUAGUUUGCUCAAUUUCAGCACUGACCUUUUACAAUUGCACCAUUGAAUUUAAGCAAAACCAAUUGCACAUUUAUGCAAUUUCCCUGGUUUAAGGAUUCCUUUUUUUGUAGUUUUUGGUCUCUGAAUGUGUGAUCAAAAUCUAUGCACUUCAGUAGGUUUUGAACAACAAAUUUUCUUUUUCUUUAUUUUCAUUGUUUGAUGAACCCAGAUCGAAUAUAACAUGGGAAUGCAACAGGUUUAUGCAAGUUUUUGCACUAAAAUUUUAGAUAUAGAUUUGAGCAAAUUGUGUUCUUGAUCUCUGCAUACUUUGACUUUGUUUGUUUGUUGUUUGUUUGUUAAUUUCUCCCCUUUUCCUCCUCUGCCUACAAUUACUUACUGUAGCAAGCAUGAACUGCUGAAAUUGGUUCCUGGUUACAAGUACAAGCUAGGUGUACUACUCUGUUAAUUUAUCUCCUCCGAUUAGGUUGCGGUAGCUGAUUGAUUGAUUGAUGCGCAGGCACUCAUUUAAAUAUGUGAUGCCCCUCUCCAACUGCAUUCUACUCUCUGCAAUUGGAAUGUUUGUUGUUUUCCAUUUUCAGAUUUAGUGCUUCUAUAUCGUUUCCUUCAUCUUUUUAUUUUUCUUUGGGUGAAAAACAAAUUGUGCUUAUUCAGAAACUCACAGGUCCAGUUAGGGUAAGAUGGGAGAUCUAGACGUCUCUAAAAUUGUCUAGGGUCGACAAGGAUGGCGUCUGAUUACAUGUAUCUGGUGGCUUCAUGCUGGGGUUGUUCAUUUACUCAUCAACGUGCUUUGCCUUCUGUUUACCGGCAUCCGACUCGAACAAGAAUUUGGGUUUGCAUUUGGAGUUUGAAGGUCUCUUGUCUGCACAGAAGAGAACAAUUUACAUUUUGGGUUAUCCUGGAAGCAUUUGGAGUUUGAAUGUAUUUUGUCUGCACAGAAGAUAACACUAUAAAAAGGUUUGCAGACCAAAAACCAUAAAUCAUUGUUUGUGUUU